rnacentral:rRNA from 1 species
GACGAACGCUGGCGGCGUGCUUAACACAUGCAAGUCGAACGGAAAGGCCCUGCUUUUGUGGGGUGCUCGAGUGGCGAACGGGUGAGUAACACGUGAGUAACCUGCCCUUGACUUUGGGAUAACUUCAGGAAACUGGGGCUAAUACCGGAUAGGAGCUCCUGCUGCAUGGUGGGGGUUGGAAAGUUUCGGCGGUUGGGGAUGGACUCGCGGCUUAUCAGCUUGUUGGUGGGGUAGUGGCUUACCAAGGCUUUGACGGGUAGCCGGCCUGAGAGGGUGACCGGCCACAUUGGGACUGAGAUACGGCCCAGACUCCUACGGGAGGCAGCAGUGGGGAAUAUUGCGCAAUGGGCGGAAGCCUGAUGCAGCAACGCCGCGUGCGGGAUGACGGCCUUCGGGUUGUAAACCGCUUUCGCGUGUGACGAAGCGUGAGUGACGGUAAUGGGUAAAGAAGCACCGGCUAACUACGU